AACGAACGCUGGCGGCAGGCCUAACACAUGCAAGUCGAGCGCGCCUUCGGGUGAGCGGCGGACGGGUUAGUAACGCGUGGGAACGUGCCCUUCUCUACGGAAUAGCCUCUGGAAACGGAGAGUAGUACCGUAUACGCCCUUCGGGGGAAAGAUUUAUCGGAGAAGGAUCGGCCCGCGUUAGAUUAGAUAGUUGGUGGGGUAACGGCCUACCAAGUCUACGAUCUAUAGCUGGUCUGAGAGGAUGAUCAGCCACACUGGGACUGAGACACGGCCCAGACUCCUACGGGAGGCAGCAGUGGGGAAUAUUGGGCAAUGGGCGAAAGCCUGACCCAGCCAUACCGCGUGAAUGAAGAAGGCCCUAGGGUUGUAAAGUUCUUUCAAUGGUGAAGAUAAUGACGGUAACCAUAGAAGAAGCUCCGGCUAACUUCG
rnacentral:rRNA from 1 species